rnacentral:lncRNA from 1 species
CCUCUCCAGACCGCUCACCUCGGUUUCCUUCCAUUGUACAACCAGGGCAGUAAGCAUAAUUUUGCCUUAACUAUCUAUUCUAGACUCAAGUCUGGCCACAUAGCACUAAUGGACAAGCCAUACAUUUGGAGAGACUCCAAGAAAUCCAUCCCAAGCCCUGAAUGGUCCUGGCCCCGUUCCAGAAUUUUACAAACUUUCCACAAAUUGUGAUUCCAGACACGUUCAUACCUUGGCCCCCAGGAUAAUGGAAGCCACAAAAGAGACAGAAAUUAAAAUGUCAGCCCAGCUGGGUCCACAUUGUAGGCCAGUAAUUACAGUGGAACCCUUUGCCUCUUCGAUCACCUGAGUGGAGCACAUCUGUGCCUCCUGCAAAAAAGGAUAACAGAGUAAUUCAGAGCAGUUUUUUUUUUUUAACAGAUAUCCCUUAACUCAGUUUAAGUAGAGUGCACUACUUAACAACGGCAACUAAGGUUUUAAUAAGCCACAGGAAAAGUUUUAAAAGCGAGGUGAGAAGCAGAGAUCAGCCUUCUGAUGAGCUUUGUAAUUCAGUGACCACUGUCAUCACUCAAGACCUAAAUUACCUGAAAUGUGUCAUCAAGGCCUCAGCAGCAAGUAAAAGAAAGCGUUGUUAUUCUCUGCCUGAGAAAAGAGUUACUGCCCAAACCUUUCAGCCACAGCAGAUUCUGAAGGACGAUUUGUAUGCCACAUCACUACGGAUAGGGAAAAGGAUGUCCACAGCCAAGGUGACAUCUGAGAGGUCAUAUACUUUGUGGGAUCAUGAUAGAAGUUCAAAACAUCAGCCUGAGAAAGGUGCUGAUUUUCAGUGUCUGUGAUGUUACCAUCCCUGAGUUUUUCCAGCUUUGAAACUGAGCGCUCCAAGCACUUGGAUCCCUUUUCUUCGGCUGCCAUGCCAGGGAAACACUGAGAUGACUUUGGCCAAAAUAAACUUUCUGCCAAUUUAUAUCCUAAUCCA